UUCAAAUGAGUCUUUAUCUACAUUUCCUAAGAUAUACCUGAGAUUUAUUUGUCUGAUAAGGGCAUAUCAAGUGCUCAAGAGCCUCAUAUCAUUCAAAAUUAAACGGCUUUAUUCCCCUCUAAUUUCUAUUAUAUCGAAUGUAAUUCAAAUUUUUACUCUUAGAAGAAUUCACAACUAUCGAACGUAAUUCAAAUUAUUGCUCAUAGAAUAAUUCAACUGGAGAUUAUAGAUUCCCGCUAGAAGAAUUUAGAUGUUAGCAUCAUCUACUUGCAUCUCAACAUAACUACACAUAAUUGUUAUUUC
rnacentral:lncRNA from 1 species